UACAGAGGGUGCAAACGUUGUUCGGAAUUACUGGGCGUAAAGCGCGUGUAGGUGGCGAGGCAAGUCGGGUGUGAAAGCCCUGGGCUCAACCCAGGAAGUGCACUCGAUACUGCCUAGCUAGAGUCCCGGAGAGGUUGGUGGAACUCUCGGUGUAGAGGUGAAAUUCGUAGAUAUCGAGAAGAACACCGGUGGCGAAGGCGGCCAACUGGACGGUGACUGACACUGAGACGCGAAAGCGUGGGAGCAACAGGG
rnacentral:rRNA from 1 species